GCCGGGCGUGGUGGCUCAUGCCUGUAAUCCCAGCACUUUGGGAGGCUGAGGCAGGCAGAUCACCUGAGGUCAGGAGUUUGAGACCAGCCUGGCCAACAUGGUGAAACCCUGUCUCUU
rnacentral:sRNA from 1 species